ACAUGCACUGUCAAAGUGCAAUGAAUCAAAAAUGUUUUUGACUUUAGCCUGCGAAAAACCACUUUCUCUGGGAAAAACCACUUUCUCCCCAAAAACAAAUUCUUUUUUAUUUUUAAAGUAGUCUUCUUCUUCUUUAUUUCCAAAACACUUUCUCUGGGAAAAACCAGUUUCUUCUUUCUUCUUCGUUCCGCAACCCGGCGGAUAAUCUCGAACAGCAGAGAUUAUUUUUCUUGGAGGAUAUCGAUGCGGUUGGUGUUGUAUAUUAUCACGAGAGGACGAGACCACGGAUGAACGACGAGACCACGGAGGAAGAACACGACCACACUGCUGAGUAUUAUGAGUCGAUGAGAUUCUGCGGCGAGUCCACGGUGGAAGGCGAGGGCGUGAAGGGUUUUCUUUUCGAGCCGAAAGUUGCGAGUUCGAAUUCGGAUUUGCAGUAAUUUGAGAGCAACUUCGAAACAAACUUGAUGGUGCAGGUAAAUCCCUUGGACUUGGUGACCAAAAUCUAGGAAAGGGAUUUGCACUUGUAGUUUCAAAUUCUUGUGUAGAUUCGGUUUUUGCAGGCAAAAAUCCCGAGUGAAAUGUAUUGUCUGAGGGCCUAAUGGGACUGUAAAACCUUUCUGAAUUCUGAUAAUUGUUGGAUGAAUUUGUAUGAUGAAAUGGUUCAAUUUCAGAAAGAAUUUUGUUCUCUGUCGAAAGUAAUGGUGUAAGGGAAUAAGGUUCAAAUUGUUGGGUUAAUUCAGGCCUAGGUUCAAACAGGUUGUAGGAUGGGAUUUCGAAUGAUUGGGUAUUUUUGUGAGUUUUGGAUUCUACAGGAAAAUACUCCGAUGACGAUUUCGAACUUUCAAUCAAAAUCGGUUCAACAUUCUCCUUGGUCAUCGACGUCCUCUUCCCUAAAUGCUUCUCAAGUUGAAACUUAGAAAAAACGUUGUUGGAUUCGUUACUUGACGGAGAGGAAGUCUCAGAUUUUGUUCGAGACGUCCUCGGAUGAAAACUGGGCAAAUUAUCUUGAUUCAUGAAAACCUGGCUCUGAGGCCACUGUUGGUAAUUGUUUAUUAACAGGAUCGGGAAACGGAUGUCGUUGGACUAUCGAUCACAAUAUGAUGCGAAGGAUAUGAACAGAGUGAAUAUAGAAUCGAAUGUAUAUUCUGACAGAAAGGGAUUUACAAAUAUAUAGAUAUGCAAGUAACCUUUCUGGAGAAGUUGUGUUCUUCAGGAGAAGUUAUGACUUCUCAGCGAUUGUUUCAGUACAAUUGCAUCUUCUUCUGCUGAUGAUAUCAGUGGUAUGAUAUCUGAACUGAGUACAUUGCCUGCGGGUCCUGACACCCAGCGUCAUGUCUCUGCUAUACGGCGGAAGAUUACAAUAUUGGGGAGUAGACUUGAUAGCUUCCAUCAAACUCCCUGAUAAAUAGCACAUAUCAGAGAGAGAGAGAUGAAUCGUCGAAAGGAUAUGAUAGGAAAUUUAAGAUCGAAAGUGAAGCACGGCUUCAACAUUGAUGUCCUAGUCUUCCAACCGAGAUAGCUUGAUGGGGCCAGAAAUAAAUAAAGCAGAUGGCUUCAACAUUGACGUCCCACUCUUCCAACCCUUCAAUUUUUUAUUUUUGCUUUCAAAUAUAAAAUAUCCCCAUUAACUUUUCUUCACAUUUUGAUGAGGAAAAAUGACUGAAACAUGUAAUGUGUUUACUUAUAUUUGAGAGACCACUGAUUUAGCCAA